AGAGAACUAAAGAAAUUAUCAAACCAUUAUUCAUAGGUGAAUUCUACUGAAAAAUAUUCUUUAACUAUUAAACUCAAAAUAUUUUCUACAUAUCUGUUAUGUAGAUAUUAAUAAACAACAUUUAUUUAGAAAUCCAGAAGAAAAAUGACACCCUAGCUGGGGUAGUUGGGAAUGUGGAUAAGAAGAAAGAGAAGUUUAUGUCAGGGAGGCUACUGCAAAUUGGUCUUAUAAUUACAAAAGAAAAGAACCAUCCAUUCUAGAGAUAACAUAAUAAAAGGUAAUUUUCCAUUGCAUCGGUUCUUCUGGUGUUUUCAGGAUCUGUGCCAAAUGCGAGGCUGCCCUUGCCACUAAGGACUUCUAACAUUGCAACUAUCAAGAUGAUGAUGAACUCAUCAAUAGAUGGAGACAGACUGCUGUAUUUUGAAGGACUCUGGAUAAUAAAUAGCUCAUAG
rnacentral:lncRNA from 1 species